rnacentral:rRNA from 1 species
AACGGCGAGUGAAGCGGCAAAAGCUCAAAUUUGAAAUCCUUCGGGAGUUGUAAUUUGUAGGUUGGGAGACCCCGCGGCUAGUGGCACCAAGUCCCUUGGAACAGGGCGCCUUAGAGGGUGAGAGCCCCGUAGGUACCACAAUACCGUCUUGUGUCUCCUCUCCAAAGAGUCGAGUUGUUUGGGAAUGCAGCUCAAAGUGGGUGGUAAAUUCCAUCUAAAGCUAAAUACCGGCGAGAGACCGAUAGCGAACAAGUACAGUGAUGGAAAGAUGAAAAGCACUUUGAAAAGAGAGUGAAACAGUACGUGAAAUUGUUGAAAGGGAAGGGCUUGCAAGCAGACACGGCCUUCGUGCCGGGCCAGCAUCGGUUGCUAGGGGUGGAUAAGGAACAAGGAAUGUAGCUCCUCGGAGUAUUAUAGCCUUGCGCGAUACACCCACUGGCGACCGAGGCCUGCGGUAUUCUUUACCUAGGAUGCUGGCGUAAUGGUUGCAAGCCGCCCGUCUUGAAACACGGACCAA